rnacentral:tRNA from 1 species
UCUAAUAUGGCAGAAUAGUGCAGUGGAUUUAAGACCCGUAUAUAAAGUAAUAACUUUUUUUAGAA